GGAGAGACCUACGGUGGAGCCCGUGGGGCCUGCGGACGGCGGCCUUCGCGGCCGGCAGAGUACUUGUGAUUUCACGUAUUUUUGCUGAACUUGUAAAAGAGACACUUGGAUGGUGGAUUAACGAGAACAUUAACAUUCUGUGAGAAGUUUCAAAUUGGAGAAUAUUGAAUUUUCACCCCAGUCCGGCAGCUCUGCUGCUCACUUAAAUACAGACGGAUGAAGACCCCAUUCGGAAAGACGCCUGGCCAGCGGGCCAGAGCUGAUGCAGGCCAUGCUGGCGUAUCUGCAAACAUGAUGAAGAAGAGGACGUCCCACAAAAAGCAUGGGAGCAGUGUGGGCCGCGCAGACCUGUUUCCCAGCCCCGGAACAUCGUAGGCUGCAGGGUUCAGCAUGGGUGGAAAGAGGGGAAUGGCCCUGUUACCCAGUGGACAGGAACCGUUCUGGACCAGGUGCCUGUAAAUCCUUCUUUGUAUCUUAUAAAAUACGAUGGAUUUGACUGUGUUUAUGGACUAGAACUUAAUAAAGAUGAAAGAGUUUCUGCGCCCGAGGUCCUCCCCGAUAGAGCCGCCACGUCGCGAAUCAGUGGUGCACACCUGGCAGACACAAUGCCUGGUAAAGCGGUGGAACGUAUGUUUGAGACAGAGGAUGGCUCUAAAGACGAGUGGAGGGGAAUGGUCUUAGCACGUGCACCUGUCAUGAACACAUGGUUUUGCAUUACCUACGAGAAAGGCCCUGUCUUGUACAUGUACCAGCUCUUAGAUGAUUACAAGGAAGGCGACCUUCGCAUUAUGCCUGAUUCUAAUGAUUCACGUCCAGCAGAAAGGGAACCAGGAGAAGUUGUGGACAGCCUGGUAGGCAAACGUGGAAUAUGCCAAAGAAGAUGGCUCGAAAAGGACUGGCAUGGUCAUUCAAGUAGAAGCCAAGCCCUCCGUCUAUUUCAUCAAGUUUGAUGAUGAUUUCCAUAUUUAUGUCUACGAUUUGGUGAAAACAUCCUAGAUGUCAUCAUGAACUCUGCCAAAUUUGUGGAACUAUUAAAUGUAUAAUUUGUAGACAUAAAGACUUGAUUGCUUUCCAGUUUAAUGAAAGCUUAAAUGUCCCUGCGAACCCACAAUCUCUGCCAGCAGAACUGGUUUUGUUCUGAAUAGUACAGAUUGAUGUGAACACAAAGCAUUUUGUGUAAGGAGAACUCCUUCCUCUUAAAAGAAGUCUGUCUGUUUGGAGGGGAGUUACAGGCAAGUUUGGUAAAAGUUAAGCUAGUAUCAUAGUCAUUUAAAACUGUAAUAGAUCUUAACCAUAUUCCCCUUCACUGUAACACUCUUAUUCUGCUGCCACAAUGCAAGCAUAGUUUGGUAUUUUUGUUACUGCCUUUUUUGAGAUAUAUGUAUCUAUAUCUACCUAUAUGUGUGUGUAUGUAUAUAUAUUAUAUACACACAUACACACACCAUUGGCAGUCCUUUCUUUGUGGAUUGGAAUGGGGGUGACAUAAUUUUCUCCAGUUUAACAGGAGUGCUUGACCCAAAUCAGUCCUAUUUAUGAUAUUAUUCCUCUUUAUUUAAAAUUAAAAUUUGGGCACAGGAAGCACAUAACAAUGUUCAGCUUGUUU